rnacentral:ncRNA from 2 species
UUCUUAUCAAGAGAGGUGGAGGGACUGGCCCUGUGAAACCUCAGCAACCAGCCAGCACGCGCUGGCCAGGUGCUAAUUCCAGCAAGUUGAGUCGGGCAGCCUGCCUGAUUCAACUUGGGAGAUAAGAA